AAAAAGACAAUACCUAAGAUGUUUUCACAGAUUCACUAAUCACCAACAUUUCUUUGAAUGUAAAAAAUCUUAUAAAGGUUGUUUGCAGAAAUUAAAUUAGUAAUUUCCCAAAUUUGACAUGCUAUUUGAUUCUGUUAGCAGAUAAUACAACUAACUUUUUUUUGUUCGUACGUUUUCAUGGUUACAGAGCUGGAGAAAGAAACGUUAUGUAUGAGAAAAUACUUUGGUUUAAAUUGUUUACGAGUAAUUUCUCUCAUACUGAUGUGCUAAAUGGCUUCUCUUUGUCCCUCCAGGUCACUCUCCAUCUUUUCCGCCAGUGCCCAACUGACUGAUCUUUACAGAUGGUGUCAACAGAUGCAUCUACCCUCUGGCUUCAAGUUGAGUUGGCCAAUGAAGGGAGGCGCUGCGGAAAGUACAUGACAUUUGCAGUUGUGGGCGACUGUGCUGUGGGAUGAAACCAGGCUCCUCAUCAAGAUGAACAUAGAUUCAAGUCUCCAUCUUAGCCAUUUCCUAGUUCUGUGAUUAUAAAUAAACUCCUUGACUUUUCUG
ensembl:lncRNA novel transcript